UGCAGAAUAAGAUGGGUUCAUUGUAUGUGUUCAUACAGCUGAUUUUCAUGACUUUAUUAGUUUCAAAAUCAGGUUUGGAGCGUCAAUAUAGCAGUAUUUUUGACCACAUACAAGACAAUGUGUAAGCUGCUGCAUACCAGGAACUGCGUGACACAAUAGUUCGUUACCAGAUACACGCAGAUUAACCCUUCAUCAUACUGCAAGAUUCUUAGAGGAUCAGUCUUUCUACUGCUACAGAGAUCUUUCUGAUUGUAUUUCUGUGUUUCACUGCAUGCAGAUGGUCAGUCAAGGACCCAAAAUCAGCUGAAUGAAUUUAAACUUGUUAAAAAAUUAUCAGGAACAUGGUGAGAACCCUGAAUAAUUUGUCUGAUCUGAGAGAGACCAGGUUUGGUCAGCCGCGUCCCAGACACGGUCUGAACUUGUUGUGGUGGUUUGCUUAUGAUUGUGUUCAGAUUGACUCCAAUGGUCAGAUGAUUUCAAAGUGCAUCCCUGAAUAUGGAGAUUUUGGCUUUGAUCGAUUCUAUAAUAGAGAAAGACUUCUUCCUAAAACUAACCUACCAUACUAUGAAGUGGGCAACCUGAACACCACUGAUUCACUGCCUUAUUAUGUCACUGAGAAUUACACUGGAUAUUCAGACAGCAGCAACAAGGAUCGCAUCAUUGUUUCCUUUGACCCAAGGUGGAGAAGAUUUGAGGAUAUUUAUGUGACACAGCACUCAGAUCAGGUGCACUUUGACCAGAAUCACACCUACUGCAUUAGCACUGAUCUUCUGAAGGACAUUCAAGUGUUAAGCCUGAAAAAAUUUCUCAGAGAAACUAUGAAUGAUUCUUAUCAGAUUUCUUACCAAAUGUAUAGCAGACACACACCGUUUCCAUCUCCAGCUCAGACUGUAAAGAGUGAACCCCACCAGAGUCAAGAGUCUAAAUCUUUCAAGGAUGUCUGUGCAAAAUGUUGCAAAAUGCUGUUUUGUAUGUUUUUGUUCAUUUUUGUUGUUGUUUUCUUCUUGCUUUUAAUAAUGAAAAUAUAGUUUUCAUGCUGUUUGUUUUUCAUUUUGAAGCCGUGUAUUGAAGCUCCAUUUGUACAAUUGACUUAUUUGAAUGAAAGGGUCUGCUAAAUGAAUAACUGUAUAAUCUGAUGCAUGUUAAUAUAAUUAUAAAUAGAUGUUCAUCGUUCUAUAAAUGUGAGAUAUAAUGUUGAGCUUUGCUUGUUUUUCACUGGAUUCUUUCAAUGAUUUAUUACAAUGAUGUAGAUAAAUGUUCCAGAUCAAGGGAGACAAAAGAUAAAACUAUCAUUUAUAAAACAGAGAUAAUAUAUUUAAUAUAUCAUAAACUAUAAAUUGCAUAAUGCUGUUGACAACAGUUAUGAAUACUGUAUAAAAUAAAUACUUAAUAUGAAACCUAAAUAUGAGUGAGACUUUCAUAAUAGCUUUCAUAGAUCUCCUCAUUAUCUGUCCUAUCUGCUCUAAUGUGUUUCUGCAAGUUUCGUUUUCCAUAGGAUAAGUUUCUAGUCAUCAAAACAGCAACAGACACACACAUACAACCUGUAGGACAACUAGUGUGUGUUACUACAGCGUAGUAGUUCCUGUCAUGAGUUCAGUGACAUCAGUAAACAUGCUAUAUCGUGUCAAAUGAAUGAAGCAGUUGGUGCCAAAGACCUAGAUUGGCUUCUACAAGAAUUACAGAUUAACCCUUCAUCUCACUGCAGUUAUCCUAGAAGGCCAGGUUUUCUCAGUUUUGUGGAGGUUAUCGGUAUCUGUAGCUCCUUUUGAACUUGCUGUUUGGUUUUGGUGAGUCUAGGACAAAAGACUUUAAUGUGCUGCUUUUGAGAGAACAAAUCUGCUGAAAAGAUUCAACAUUCAAACGAAUAGAUUCAAAAACAGAGCUGAGAGUUCUGUACUCUUUAUUGGUAGCUGAAAACACCACUGAAUUAGCCCAAAUAUUUAAUAAAUGAACAUGUGUAUGGUUUUGACUGAACAUUAUGAAAAAUAGU